UACGUGAGUGUUUAUGUGGUGCGAGAGAAGGAGAUUAAGACGGCAGGCAGCCCUGAGGAGAGCAGAGGAAGAUUGUUUUCUUUGUCUGUUUUUGGUUUUAUUUCUUGACAGGACAGUUGGACAGAGAGACAAGAAAGCAGAGAGAGAAAGAAGGGAAGAUGUACAGGAAGUGGCCCGACACAGAUUUGGACCCAGGCCCCUGUGUCAGGCAGUAGCUUUUAAGGUACGCGCUCUUACCCAUGUGAGCCAGAGGGGUCGCAAUAAAAUGUGACCACUCAACUACAAUAUUACAUAGGACAGUGCAACUAAAACAACAAUGUAUUCAAAAGAUUAUGAUAAUACCAAACAACCAAAAUAUAAGACUUGUAGUUACAACACUACAACCCUGUAACCGGAAUGGCAGAGAGGUGGAAUGGACUGAUAUAAUCUUGCCAUUUGUCAGAAAUGCUGAUUUGACAAAAGUGCUCCGAUUCAUCUGUGUGUGAGUGUGUGUGAGUGUAUGUGCGCGAGCAUUCCAAGGUGCGCCUUCCAACACGUGCGAGUGUGUGAGUUAAUCAGAUGAAAGAGGGGUUUUUUCGAGGGAGCCCUCUGGUGCAAAUUUCAUCUCCUGGUAAACCGCCCAUCUGAGUUUGCACAGGCCUCUGCGUGACUUAUUCCGGGCUAGGAGGGACCUCAUGUUGAGAGGAGGAAUGCAUGGACAGGAUGGUCCUUGGUCUACACAACAUACUCACAGCUCUUACCACAGCGGCUAACGAGUUGUUCUGCAUGCCCCAUCAUAGACAGGCACAUCCCUACAGAUCUGGGUGAUAUGUGUAUUUUCGAUAUGCAAGAAUCUAAAUCUGCCCCACGAACAAUAUUCUCAGAGACGGCUGGUUCUCAUCUGCCAGCGUGGCUCAGCCAGACCAUGUGGCUAGCAUACUUUCUUUGUCCUGGCUUCCAGGAGGGAUCUGGCAGUGGAACCAGACGACAGACGACUCACAGGGAAUUGUACCCUCUCUGAGGUCAUGUCAUGAACCGACACGCAAAGGACAGGACCGUUUGAGAGCAGUGUAUUCUUCUGGCCAAGAUAGUAAUCGAAUCAAAAACGUAAUCAGCAACGCGAUGGAAAGUUGAAUCUGACAGUUGUCUAGUGUAUGUGUCAAUGUGUCUACUGUAUCCAUCCAUCAAAAACAAUAUUUCGGAACAUUGGAAAAUACAUCUCUUCAGAGACAACAUUAUAAUAAGACAAAGAACUCAAAGCAAAAGUGUUUUAUUGAGCAGAGAUUCAGGUCACCACUGUUUAUCGUGAUUGGAAUCCACAAGUAGAAAAACACAAUCAACAUACAAGCUCAGCUUGAAAUUCCCAGACAACGCUUGAAGGCCAACCAGUUAGAUUCAGAAAGUGAUGUGUAGAAAAUACACAAAACAGUUACCUGUCACACAUUGGUCUUAUUCUAUUCCACUCACAACAUAUAUAUAUAUAUAUAGUUAAUUAUAGAAGUUCAAUACAAAAAAUAGGCAUUUGGACCCACACCACAACUUCGCCCUGCAUCUGACUGUAACUGUGUUAUAUCUAUAGCAGAGUUCGCCCCCUGGUGGCUUGUUGAGGUACCUCAAACUCUACGUAAAAGACAAGAAGCCCUUGAUACACGACUAGGGGAUUGGGUUUCAUGCCACUAAAACAGGCAAAGGUCACUUCAAGGUUUUUGACAACUUGCCCUGCCUGCAAGUGGCAUCACCUUACAUUUCUAGAACUUUACUUGAAAUACUAAGAAUGUUAUACCAGUAACAUUUACUCUGUUGUAACAAGUAAAGAGAGAGUAAAAUAAAAUUAUAUUAGUUCAUGUGUAUUAACUGGUCUGUGAAAUAACUCAGUAGGCAGUGGUGAAUAUGUUUUGGACUCAAGUUGUAGUACCAACACACGUGAAUACUGAAUAUAAAAACCUACUAAAGACUUGAAAUGCCAUGACUGAACUCUUCAUCUAGAACACAUGAUGUUGUGUGCUAUACAGUUCACAGCUCAGGCAGUACGUAACAUUUCCUGUUCCAUCAGAAAGUAAGUACCUGAUUAUCAUUACA